UGUUCUUUUAUCAAGCCUCGGGCUCAUCGGGUUCAGCUGUGUCAUAUUCCACGGCCUCCUCGUCGUACUUGACAGCCACCAAGAACCUAAUGCUCACCUGGGGAAGAAAAGAGAAGAGUUUAUUGUAUGAUGAAAGGCGGCCGCAAGGCACUUUGAUAUCGUCCUUCCACACAAAAUGCUCGGAUUCAUCAGUCUUCUUCCUGCCAUGGAACUUCGCCCCGAGCUUCUUUUGCUCCAAGGAUUUAGUAUCCUGCUCCAAUGUUCAGCAAUGGUAAAGAUUAAGGACUAGCUAUUCAGCUUGAUAGCUUAGUUCAUUAUGCUUGUUACCUCGGGUGGACUCGAGAACUCCAUGAUUUCUUCACCCAUUGAAGCCACAGCCAAAACCAAGAAGCCUUCUGGCCUGUCCACUGCUGUAAAACCAUAUUUAGCAGCUUCUGCUGCAGCAUCUGAGCAGACAAUAGCUUUUCCAAACUGAAAUAAUUAAUGAAAAUGAAAAUUUUUUA